AUUAUUUUAUUUUAGCACACAAUUCUUAGCAUAGAGUUUAAAGAAAAAAAUUUUGGGUAAAUUCCAACAUAGCUUUUAAAGAAUACAUUUUAUACUUAAAUUGAAAUAAAUGAGGUUUAAACAUUAUUUUCUUAAAUUUGAAUAAUUAAUCUAAUAAAUUUUACACAAAUUAUGAAUACUACAUAUUCGGGUAAAGACGAGUCCAAU